UACGUAGGAGACGAGCGUUGUCCGGAUUUAUUGGGCGUAAAGCGCGUGUAGGCGGCUUUGCAAGUCGGGUGUGAAAUCCCUCAGCUCAACUGAGGAAGUGCGCCCGAAACUGCAGAGCUUGAGUACCGGAGAGGAUGGCGGAAUUCCCCAAGUAGAGGUGAAAUUCGUAGAUAUGGGGAGGAACACCGGUGGCGAAGGCGGCCAUCUGGACGGAUACUGACGCUGAGACGCGAAAGCGUGGGGAGCAAACAGG
rnacentral:rRNA from 1 species